GCUCGCAAAAGCUCGAACAUAAACCCAAACGUUACCUAACAACAACCCAAAACAUUUGACCAGACUAGUAGAUGCGAUCGAACCUCGCCCACUCGACGCAAUAUAAAAAGUACUGUGAAGGAAGAAUGAAAUAAGGUGAAAUCGUUAGCUCAACAAAGCAGGGAUAAACACUCGUACCUUUUGCAUUAUGGUCUAGCAAGAAGCCCAGACAAAGAGACCUUCAGCCUCCCCCCCCGAACACAAGUGAUCUACUUCAUGGCAGUUGUACCGAACUAACUCGUCUCUGUAGCAAUAGAGUGAGAAGACCAAGAAGUAGCGGUUAAAGCCAAACGAACUUGUCGAUAGCUGGUUAUCCGACAAAUGAAUAUAAGUUCAUACCCAGCAAACUGCCAUUUUUUAUGAUUUAAAAUUUCUGCAGGGAGAUAGCCGACGAGGGCACAGCCUCAUCGGCACUGGAUACAGCCAGAAGUAGAGAGGAAAUAUACACACACCAUUCUGUAGGCCCUAAAACAGCCACCAAUCAAUAUCACGUCACAGUAACUGCCCAAAAAUACCCCAAAAAACAAAAAUCUCCUAUACACCAAUCGGAUCAAUCUACACACGUGUAGAAGAGCCAAUGCUAGAAUAAGUAAUUUGAACCCCUUCUAAAGACAGAAUAUUAAAUAACCAACACCCAGCAGACCAUCAAAGGAACAAUGACACCUAAUUCAUCAACCCAUAAAACAUACUGUUUAUCCAACACAGGACUGUCUACUUAUUAGGCCCAAAACCUUAAAAGGAACUCGGCAACCACUUUUUCCAACUGUUUACCAAAAACAUAGCUUCUAGCCCAACUAGUAUUAGAAGUAACGCCUGCCCUGUGGAACCCUAAACGGCCGCGGCACUAAAACCGUGCAAAGGUAGCACAAUCACUUGUCCCUUAAAUGAGGACCCGUAUGAAAGGCACCAUGAGAGAAAACCUGUCUCUUAAGACCAGCCAAUGAAAUUGUUCUACCCGUACAAAAACUGGUAUAUAAAAGCAAGACAAAAAGACCCUGUGGAACUUUAAUAAAUUGUUUAAAAACAUAAACAAUAAUUUUAGUUGGGACAACUAUAGAAAAAAUAAACUUCUUACAACAUUAAGACCAACAAGUCUAAGAAAGUCACAGACCCAGCCAAACUGAUUAAUGAAACAAGCUACCCCAGGGAUAACAGCGCUACCUUCUCAAAGAGUCCAUAUCAACAAGAAGAUCUACGACCUCGAUGUUGGAUCAGGGUACCCAGACGGUGCAGCAGCUGUCAAGGGUUCGUUUGUUCAACGAUUAAUACCCUACGUGAUCUGAGUUCAGACCGGAGCAAUCCAGGUCGGACUUUAUCUGCUACAAGUCUCUAUUAGUACGAAAGGACCACUGAGACAAGACCAAUACCAACAGCACAUCUUAUAAAAUCUGAAUAAAACUUAAAAUUUUAAAAUACCAAUAGCCCAAAAAAAGGACCCAGAUAACCGGAAUGCCGGUGCCACAUAAGGGUGGCAUAGCACGGUUAUUGUAGGAGCCUAAACCCCAUCAGAAGUCCAACUUCUACACCGGCAUGCCGGUGCCAC
rnacentral:rRNA from 1 species